rnacentral:rRNA from 1 species
UACGUAGGGCGCAAGCGUUGUCCGGAAUCAUUGGGCGUAAAGAGCUCGUAGGCGGCUUGUUGCGUCGACUGUGAAAACCCGAGGCUCAACCUCGGGCCUGCAGUGGGUACGGGCAGACUAGAGUGCGGUAGGGGAGAUUGGAAUUCCUGGUGUAGCGGUGGAAUGCGCAGAUAUCAGGAGGAACACCAAUGGCGAAGGCAGAUCUCUGGGCCGUAACUGACGCUGAGGAGCGAAAGCAUGGGGAGCGAACAGG